rnacentral:rRNA from 1 species
GUGUCAGCAGCCGCGGUAAUACGGAGGGCGCAAGCGUUAUCCGGAUUUAUUGGGCGUAAAGGGUUCGCAGGCGGUCUCUUAGGUUAGAUGUGGAAGAUCACGGCUCAACCGUGGUAAGCAUUUAAAACUGGGAGACUUGAGUUAAGGAGAGGAAAGUGGAAUUCCUAGUGUAGCGGUGAAAUGCGUAGAUAUUAGGAGGAAUACCAGUGGCGAAGGCGACUUUCUGGACUUAUACUGACGCUGAGGAACGAAAGCGUGGGGAGCGAACAGGAUUAGAAACCCCAGUAGUCC